AAUGACAUUAUGAAAAUAUAGGACCAAAUUAGGUUAGAAAUUAAAAUAUAAGGAUUAGUCAAAUUUAAGUAUAAUAGGAAAGACCGAAAUUGAAAUUAAACUAUUUUAUAAAAAUACAAAAAUAAAAUAAAAACAAAGAAACUUGGGUGAGUGUCUACGUGUCUGUAAUAGCCCAAUUUUACCCAGCCCAACACACAUAAAUAAACCCAAACCAAAACAAAAUAAAAACAAAACAAAUAAAGUCCAUUUACAAAAUAUAUAUAUAUAUACAUUUGCCUAAAUUACAAGCCCAAACCUAGCCCAAAACUUAAACAAUUUUCAGAAACCCUAAAAAAACCCUAACUCUAAUCGCCGUUGCUCCUCUACUCUAACCGUCGCUGCUCCUCUGCUUCACCAUAUCAGCAGGCAUGCUUCCCAAAGUCCCCUCACCCCGAGGUUUGCCUUCUCUACCGCCAUUUCACCAAAACGGCAAGGGCGCCCGUCUCCACCACCUUGACUCGGCCCUUUACCACAAAUACCUGCAAAAGAGAAAGAAAACAAAGCAUAGAACAGAAAGCAAAAACAAC
rnacentral:lncRNA from 1 species